UACAGAGGGGGCAAGCGUUGUUCGGAAUUACUGGGCGUAAAGGGCGCGUAGGCGGCCCGCUAAGUCGAACGUGAAAUCCCCGGGCUCAACCCGGGAACUGCGUCCGAUACUGGCAGGCUUGAAUCCGGGAGAGGGAUGCGGAAUUCCAGGUGUAGCGGUGAAAUGCGUAGAUAUCUGGAGGAACACCGGUGGCGAAGGCGGCAUCCUGGACAGAAACUGACGCUGAGGCACGAAAGCUAGGGGAGCAAACAGG
rnacentral:rRNA from 1 species